rnacentral:rRNA from 1 species
UACGGAGGGUGCGAGCGUUGUCCGGAAUCACUGGCGUAAAGGGCGCGUAGGCGGCCUGAUAAGUAGGGGUGAAAUCCUGCGGCUUAACCGCAGGGCUGCCUUCUAAACUGUCAGGCUAGAGCACAGUAGAGGCAGGUGGAAUUCCUGGUGUAGCGGUGAAAUGCGCAGAUAUCAGGAAGAACACCCGUGGCGAAGGCGGCUCUCUGGGACGGUACUGACGCUGAGACGCGAAAGCGUGGGGAGCGAACAGG